CUUGCAAGCAUAGAUUUUUGGUUGAUUCAUCAAAAAGAGAAAGUAUUCGAAGUUCUUAAUUGAAGAAGUUUGGGGUUACGUCAAUACAAAUGUUUCCAAUGGAGGAGGAUUGAGAUGCUUCAACUGCGUUUACCAUGAGGAUUUUUAUUGGAAUUUUACAAGGGAAAGCUGUUCUUAAGUUUAAUGGGCUUAAAAUUGUAGUAAGGGAGGUUUGAUGGCCUUAAAUAUCAACAACGUUAACAAAUUUGAUGAAGGCGCCCUAUCAAAUGCAAUAUUAAACUAUGGAUUUCACGGGUUAAGAAACAAAGCUUUUUUGUAGUCCUAUUUCAAUGUUAAAAAAAAUUAUUUUGAAUUUUUUUAAUCUAAAUCAUGUUUUUUUUAAAAAAAAAAAUUUUAUUUAAGACUUUGCCGGUAUCAUAACAGCUCUCACAUUAAUUUGGCGCCAUGUCCCAAAUUCAAUCUGAUCCCUCAACUCACAACAAUCCUCGUCCCGCAUUCAUGACACCGCAAAAGCUUCUCCCAGUCGAAAAAUGCUCACUGGGAUGCCCCAUCCUAGACUGCUGCAUGGGCGGAGGCAUCCCUUGCAACUCCAUAACCGAAAUCGUGGCUGAAAGUGGUUCCGGCAAAACCCAACUCUGCCUCCAACUCUCCCUCCGCGCCCAACUCCCACCCUUCCUCGGCGGCCUGUCCGCUUCCUCUCUUUACCUCUACACCGAAUUCCCGUUUCCCACUCGCCGCCUCCACCAGCUCUCCAGUGCCCUUCAAUGUCAAUACCCACAAAUAUUCGCCAGCAAUUAUGAUCCUUGUGAUAAUAUAUUUCUGCAAAGUGUAAACACCGCAGACCAACUGCUCGAUAUAAUGCCGCAAAUAGAAUCAUUUCUUGAAAACUCAAAAACCCGGUUGCCUGUCAGAGUGAUUGUGAUCGAUUCCAUGGCUGCAUUGUUUAGGGCUGAGUUUGAGAAUACAGCGAGUGAUCUUAUAAGGAGGUCGUCGUUGUUUUUUAAGAUAUCUGGGAAGCUAAAAGAGUUUGCGAAGAGGUUUAAUUUGGUGGUGCUGGUGACUAAUCAAGUGAUGGAUGUUGUGGACUCUGGAGAGGGAGUAAACGAGGUAAGGAUUGGGAAUUUGAGUGGUAUGUAUUCGUCUGGACGAAGGGUUUGUCCGGCUCUGGGAUUGUCGUGGGCUAAUUGUGUAAAUUCGAGGUUGUUCUUGUCCAAAGAUGAAUAUGAGAGUGGUUUGGUGGGUGUUGGUGAGAGUGCUUUUCUGUCUAGGGAAACAAGGAGAAGGCUUCAUGUUGUUUUUGCGCCACAUUUGCCUGAUUUGUCUUGUGAGUUUGUGAUCAGGAGAGAAGGGGUUGUGGGAGUCAACAGAUAAACGAGGAGAUGGCUUCACGCUGUUUUUGCGCCGCAUUACCCUGGUUUGUCCUGUCACUUUUGUUCCUCAAUUUAAGCUUGUAUUCACUUCUUUACAUGGAGGCUUCGCUCCGGCAGAGAUACCAGCACUUUUACGAUGGCUGCACUUCCAGCAUGUAAAGGAACCAUUUGUAUUUAACAGCCAAAUAUCUUCUAUGCUUUUAGAUUAGGGGAGCAGACCCAUGAUGUCAACUCUUUUGCUUGCCCUGAUUUACAUUAAGAAUAGUAGGAAUUACAAA